UGCGUAAUAGCUCACUGGUCGAGUGAUUCUGCGCCGAAAAUUUAACGGGGCUAAACUAUACACCGAAGCUUAGGAUACCGCAAGGUAUGGUAGGAGAGCGUUCUGUACGGAGUGAAGUCGUAGCGAAAGCGGCGGUGGACUGUACAGAAGUGAGAAUGCCGGAAUAAGUAGCGAGAAUUAAGUGAGAAUCUUAAUGGCCGAAAGUCUAAGGUUUUUGGAGGAAGGUUCGUCCGCUCCAAGUAAGUCGGGAGCUAAGGUCAGGCCGAAAGGCGUAGCCGAUGCACAAACGGUUGAUAUUCCGUUACCGUCUAUAAUUUAAACAAAGGGACACAUACAAAGCGUUUAACCCGGGCGAUGGUUGACCCGGGCGCAAGGGACUGAAAUUAGAGUAGGGAAGUAAAUGUGGCGUAUGGCGAGAAAAGCUUUGUGAAUAGAAGUAGACGCCCGUACCGCAAACCGACACAGGUGGACAGGAAGAGAAUUCUAAGGCCAGCGGGAGAAGGGUAGUUAAGGAACUCGGCAAAUUGACUCCGUAACUUCGGAAUAAGGAGUGCUCGAAAGAGCCGCAGAGAAUAGGCCCAGGCGACUGUUUAGCAAAAACACAGGUCUCUGCCAAAUCGAAAGAUGAAGUAUAGGGGCUGACACCUGCCCGGUGCCGGAAGGUUAAGAGGAGGAGUGCAAGCUCCGAAUUGAAGCCCCGGUAAACGGCGGCCGUAACUAUAACGGUCCUAAGGUAGCGAAAUUCCUUGUCGGGUAAGUUCCGACCCGCACGAAUGGUGUAACGAUCUGGGCACUGUCUCAACUACCCACCCGGCGAAAUUGUAGUACCGGUGAAGAUGCCGGUUACCUGCGGCAAGACGGAAAGACCCCAUGGAGCUUUACUGUAGCCUGAUAUUGGGUUUCGGAAAUCUAUGUACAGGAUAGGCGGGAGACUGGGAAGUAUGAGCGUCAGCUUAUACGGAGUCAUUGUUGGGAUACCGCCCUUAGGUUUCUGGAAUUCUAACCUGCGACCGUGAAUCCGGUCGGGGGACAUUGUCAGGUGGGCAGUUUGACUGGGGCGGUCGCCUCCGAAAAGGUAACGGAGGCGCUCAAAGGUUGGCUCAGCACGGACGGAAACCGUGCCUCAGAGUGUAAACGCAAAAGCCAGCCUAACUGCGAGGAUGACGGUCCGAGCAGUAACGAAAGUUGGAGUUAGUGAUCCGGCGGUAUGUGAAUGGAAAUGCCGUCGCUCAACGGAUAAAAGCUACCCUGGGGAUAACAGGCUGAUCUCCCCCAA
rnacentral:rRNA from 1 species